GAACUUAAGCAUAUCAAUAAGCGGAGGAAAAGAAACUAACAAGGAUUCCCUCAGUAACUGCGAGUGAAGUGGGAAAAGCUCAAAUUUGAAAUCUGGCAGCUCUUUCAGGUUGUCCGAGUUGUAAUCUAGAGAAGCGUUACCUGUGUUGGACCGUGUAAAAGUCUUCUGGAAUGGAGCAUCAUAGAGGGUGAGAAUCCCGUCUUUGACAUGGACUACCAGCAUGCCAAGGUGCACUCUCAAAGAGUCGAGUUGUUUGGGAAUGCAGCUCAAAAUGGGUGGUAAAUGCCAUCUAAAGCUAAAUAUUGGCGAGAGACCGAUAGCGAACAAGUACCGUGAGGGAAAGAUGAAAAGAACUUUGGAAAGAGAGUUAAACAGUACGUGAAAUUGCUGAAAGGGAAACGCUUAAAGUCAGCCGCAUUAGCUGGAAAUCAGGCUUGCUUUUGCAAGGUGCACUUUCUAGUUGAUGGGUCAGCAUCAAUUUUAAUCGUUGGAUAAAGUCAUUGGGAAUGUGGCAUCUUUGGAUGUGUUAUAGCCCAGUGUUGAAUACAGCGGUCAGGAUUGAGGAAUUCAGCAUGCCUCUAGGGGCCAGGUUUCGACCAUGUUCAUGCUUAGGAUGCUGGCAUAAUGGCUUUAAUCGACCCGUCUUGAAACACGGACCAAGGAGUCUAACAUGCCUGCGAGUGUUUGGGUGAAAAACCCAUACGCACAAUGAAAGUGAAAGUUGAGAUCCUUAGGGAGCAUUGACGCCCGGACCAGACCUUCUGUGACGGAUCCGCGGUAGAGCAUGUAUGUUGGGACCCGAAA
rnacentral:rRNA from 1 species